AUAACCUGGAGAGCUUGUUAGAAUGCAGAUUCUGAUUCAGUUGGUCUGGAGUAGGCCUGAGAUUCUGCAUUCCUAGCAAGCUCCCAGGUGCUGCAGG
rnacentral:pre_miRNA from 1 species